UUGAGUUGGGUGGUCACAGGAUGAGCGUAGCAAUCAAAUUCUAGCCUAGGGAGAACUGCAUAUCCUUAAGGAAAUGACAAUGUAGGGGAAGUUGUGUCCUUAUCUUAAGGGCAUUUGUUCUUGCCAUGGGAAAUGUUGUAA